UUCUGGUGCAGAGGUAGUGGACAACAGGGAUAGUUGGGGGCAUCAGUAUUUGACUGUCAGAGGUGAAAUUCUUGAAUUUGUCAUGGAUUGACUAGUGCGAUGGCAUUUGCCAAGGAUGUUUUCAUUUAUCAAGAACGACAGUUAGGGGAUUGAAGACGAUUAGAUACCGUCAUAGUCUUAACCAUAAACCAUGCCAACUAGAGAUGGGAGGUCGUUACCUGAAGGACUCCUUCAGCACCUUUUGAGAAAUUGAAAGUUUUUGGGUUCUGGGGGGAGUAUGGUCGCAAGGCUGAAACUUAAAGGAAUUGACGGAAGGGCACCACCAGGAGUGGAGCCUGCGGCUUAAUUUGACUCAACACGGGGAAACUUACCAGGGCCUGACACAAGUUGGAUUGACAGAUUGACAGCUCUUCCUUGAUUCUGUGGGUGGUGGUGCAUGGCCGUUCUUAGUUGGUGGAGUGAUUUGUCUGGUUAAUUCCGAUAACGAACGAGACCUUAACCUGCUAAGUAGUUACAUGAAAUUGCGAUUCUGUGGCCAAUUUCUUAGAGGGACUCUGUGUGUCUAGCAUAAGGAAGUGUGAGGCAAUAACAGGUCUGUGAUGCCCUUAGAUGUUCUGGGCUGCACGCGCGCUACACUGAUGUACUCACUGAGUGCCCCAUCUUGCCUGUAGAGGUUGGGCAGUCUUGCAAACCUACGUCGUGAUGGGGAUGGAUCAUUGCAACUAUUGCUCCUGAACGAGGAAUUCCUAGUAAAUGUAUGUCAUCAACUUGCAUUGAUUGUGUCCCUGCCUUUUGUACACACCGCCCGUCGCUCCUACCGAUUGAGUGGUCCGGUGAACAGUUUGGGCCUGCUGUGCCCUUCAGCUCCUGAGAAGUGCAGUGAGAAGUUCAGUGAACCUUAUCACU
rnacentral:rRNA from 1 species